rnacentral:rRNA from 1 species
CGAAAGCCUGACGGAGCAAUACCGCGUGAGGGAGGAAGGUUCUUGGAUUGUAAACCUCUUUUCUCAAGGAAGAAAAAAAUGACGGUACUUGAGGAAUCAGCAUCAGCUAACUCCGUGCCAGCAGCCGCGGUAAUACGGAGGAUGCAAGCGUUAUCCGGAAUUAUUGGGCGUAAAGCGUCCGCAGGUGGCAUAUCAAGUCUGCUGUCAAAGACCGAAGCUCAACUUCGGGCAGGCAGUGGAAACUGGUAAGCUAGAGUACGGUAGGGGUAGAGGGAAUUUCCAGUGUAGCGGUGAAAUGCGUAGAGAUUGGAAAGAACACCAGUGGCGAAGGCGCUCUACUGGGCCGUAACUGACACUCAGGGACGAAAGCUAGGGGAGCG